CCAACGGGAGGCAGCAGUGGGGAAUAUUGGACAAUGGGCGAAAGCCUGAUCUAGCCAUGCCGCGUGUGUGAAGAAGGCCUUCGGGUUGUAAAGCACUUUAAGCGAGGAGGAAGGUUCGUCACCUAAUACGUGACGGAAUUGACGUUACUCGCAGAAUAAGCACCGGCUAACUCUGUGCCAGCAGCCGCGGUAAU
rnacentral:rRNA from 1 species